rnacentral:rRNA from 1 species
GUCCACGCCGUAAACGAUGGAUGCUAGCCGUCGGCAAGCUUGCUUGUCGGUGGCGCAGCUAACGCAUUAAGCAUCCCGCCUGGGGAGUACGGCCGCAAGGUUAAAACUCAAAGGAAUUGACGGGGGCCCGCACAAGCGGUGGAGCAUGUGGUUUAAUUCGACGCAACGCGAAGAACCUUACCAGCUCUUGACAUUCACUGAUCGCCUGGGGAGACCUGGGAGUCCUAGCAAUAGGCAGUGGGACAGGUGCUGCAUGGCUGUCGU